UUAUGGCAUAUGUGAGGGCAGAAACUGCUGCAGUUAUGUGUAGGUCGGGAAUCUGAAGUCUUUCCUUGAUGAACCUGGUCAUGAAGUCACGUAGGGUCUCAUUUUGCCCUUGUCUAAGUUGCAUGAGGGAAGCUGCUGUCUUCCUGAUGCGUUUGCUGCUUGCGAAGAAAGUGGAGAACUUGUCCGCCAAAUCCGAGAAUGAGGCUAUGGAGUUGGACUCUAAGGUUGAGAACCAAUCCCUAGCAGCAUUCGUCAAAGUUUGCGGGAAGGCCUUACACAUCACCUGAUCUGGUGCAACCUGUAGAUUCAUGACGUCCGUGUAUAUGUUCAGAUGAUUGAUUGGAUCGGUGGUCCCAUCAUAUUCUUUGAUCCUAGGAUACUUAAAUCUGUCUGGCAAGGGGAAUGUUAAUAUCUCGGGAGUAGGGGAAUGUUAAUAUUUCGGAAGUAAAUGGAGUGUUGGGACUGAAUCUUGUCGUCCCUUUGUUGCCCUGAAGUAGGCCCGCCGUAAUUCCUUCUUGAAUAAUUCUAGCGAGUUCUCCGGAAUCCAUGGUCACUGAUCUCGAGGCCGAGGUCACAUGUGGUAUACCCGAGGCCCCUGCUCCGCCAUUGUCAGGGGCAUGUGUUUGAGCUCGAGCUCGAGCAUCAGCCAUAAAACCCCCUGGGGUGCUGGUGUAGGUGACGGAUGCGAAUUUCUUUGACUUAGCAGCUGAGUCAGUGUGGCGACCUGUUGUCUGAGCUCUUCAAAGGCUCCAGCAGUGACGACCGCCG
rnacentral:lncRNA from 1 species